CCUACGGGAGGCAGCAGUAGGGAAUCUUCGGCAAUGGACGGAAGUCUGACCGAGCAACGCCGCGUGAGUGAAGACGGCUUUCGGAUCGUAAAGCUCUGUUGUAAGAGACGAACGGGUGUGAGAGUAGAAGGUUGACAGUUUGACGGUAUCUUAACAGAAAGGGACGGCUAACUACGUGCCAGCAGCCGCGGUAAUACGUAGGUCCCGAGCGUUGUCCGGAUUUAUUGGGCGUAAAGCGAGCGCAGGCGGUUAGAUAAGUCUGAAGUUAAAGGCUGUGGCUUAACCAUAGUACGCUUUGGAAACUGUUUAACUUGAGUGCAAGAGGGGAGAGUGGAAUUCCAUGUGUAGCGGUGAAAUGCGUAGAUAUAUGGGGGAACACCGGUGGCGAAAGAGGCUCUCUGGCUUGUAACUGACGCUGAGGCUCGAAAGCGUGGGGAGCAAACAGGAUUAGAUACCCGGGUAGUC
rnacentral:rRNA from 1 species